AGCAGCCGCGGUAAUUCCAGUUCCAAUAGCGUAUAUUAAAGUUGUUGCAGUUAAAAAGCUCGUAGUUGAAUUUCGGGGUCAGCAAGUUGGUCGUGCCACUGGUAUGCACUGGCUUUGCUGAUUCCUCCUUCUUGAAGAACUGUAAUGCUAUUAAUUUAGUGUUGCAGGGAAACAGGACUGUUACUUUGAAAAAUUAGAGUGUUUAAAGCAGGCUAACGCUUGAAUACAUUAGCAUGGAAUAAUGAAAUAGGACGUUUGAUCCUAUUUUGUUGGUUUCUAGGAUUGACGUAAUGAUUAAUAGGGAUAGUUGGGGGCAUUAGUAUUCAAUUGUCAGAGGUGAAAUUCUUGGAUUUAUUGAAGACUAACUACUGCGAAAGCAUUUGCCAAGGAUGUUUUCAUUAAUCAAGAACGAAAGUUAGGGGAUCGAAGACGAUCAGAUACCGUCGUAGUCUUAACCAUAAACUAUGCCGACUAGGGAUCGGAUGAUGUUAAUUUUUAAUGACUCAUUCGGCGUCCG
rnacentral:rRNA from 1 species